GGAAUAUUGCGCAAUGGGGGAAACCCUGACGCAGCAACGCCGCGUGAGUGAGGAAGGCCCUCGGGUCGUAAAGCUCUGUCAAAUGGGAAGAACGGUCACGAUUCUAAUAGGGUCGUGAAUUGACGGUACCAUUAAAGGAAGCACCGGCUAACUUCGUGCCAGCAGACGCGGUAAUACGAAGGGUGCAAGCGUUGUUCGGAUGUAUUGUGCGUAAAGCGCGCUCAGUCGGACAGUUAAGCCAGAUGUGAAAUCCCGGGGCUCAACCUCGGAACUGCGUCUGGAACUGGUUGUCUAGAGUCUCGGAGGGGGAAGGGGAAUUUCGCAUGUAGGGGUAAAAUCCGUAGAGAUGCGAAGGAACACCAGUGGCGAAGGCGCCUUCCUGGACGAGUACUGACGCUGAGGCGCGAAAGCGUGGGGAGCAA
rnacentral:rRNA from 1 species